rnacentral:rRNA from 1 species
UACGUAGGGUGCGAGCGUUAAUCGGAAUUACUGGGCGUAAAGCGUGCGCAGGCGGUGAUGUAAGACAGGUGUGAAAUCCCCGGGCUUAACCUGGGAACUGCAUUUGUGACUGCACGGCUGGAGUGCGGCAGAGGGGGGAUGGAAUUCCGCGUGUAGCAGUGAAAUGCGUAGAUAUGCGGAGGAACACCGAUGGCGAAGGCAAUCCCCUGGGCCUGCACUGACGCUCAUGCACGAAAGCGUGGGGAGCAAACAGG